UGGACAACUCUGCUCUCCCUCCCUUAGGUCGAACAAGUACAAUGACCUAGCUCUCUCUCUGUCGACAAAGACGAUGUCGACGAAGACGGUGCUGUAGCUUCUCUUUCUCUGUAUUCGAUAUCAGAUCGAAGCUCCCAAUCUCUCUUUGCCUGCAUGCCAUAUCACCUCUCUAUAUCUUCUCUCUCUCAAAUUGUUGAUGUGGAGUCACCAUUAGGCGUUAGCAACCUCAUUCACACACGGCUAUUCACUUUGUAUUUUGCGUACAGGGAAACUAAAGGUUUGGAACCCUAAAAUUCAAUCUGUUGCCUUUUUCUUUCUCUUUCGCAUAGCUGAUUGUGAUUGUGAUUAGAUUUUGCGCUCUAGAAGCAACACCACAAUAGCAUAUUUUACCCUUUCAAACUGAAGUAUUCAGUCGAAUUUGGACACCACAACCAGCAAUUUAGAGGGACAAUUUCUUCGGAUUUGAGACUGAUAUGCCUCAAUUUCAUCAUAUUGCUGGAUGUAAGAUUUGGAGUGACGAUUUCUUCAGAUUUCAGAUAGCUACGCCUGAUGUCAUUUGAUCACCGAACCAAAGUAGGAUUUAGAGUGACGAUUUCGUUGGAUUGCAGACGGCUACACUUCAAUUUCAUCUAAUCGCUUAAUUGAAGUAGUUAGGAGUGACGGUUUUUUUCAAUAUUCCUGCGAACAACAGAGAAAUUGAAGGUUUGGAGGAGUAACUCAAGAGCAAGCCAGAGACUGAAGCUCGGAAUGGAGGGAAUUCCUUGGGAGAGGCUCAAUUUUACGGGAGAUGUAUACCGCGAGACGAGACUGAAGCACUACAAAAAUUACGAGAACCUCUUGUUCUCUCCUGAAGAGCUCGAAAAGAAAAGUGGAGAAGGGCCACAGCUUCUAUGAUUUUCAGUUCAAUACAAGGCUUGUCAAAUCAACAAUUGUGCAUUUCAGGUAGUGAACUCACAUCUGAUUUAUAUUAAUAAAUUUUUCUAUAGUUCUUGCCAAUGUUUUUCAGAGUGUGACUUAAGAUAUCUACAAAUUCAUAAUAGUUGCAUUGAAUCAAAAGUAAACUUGCCUGACCAAGCAAUAUUCUAAGUUAGAGUUGAAGGUCUAAAUAGAAUUGUUCCCGAAAUAAAUCUAAACUUCUGAACAGACAAAACUAUCUAUUAGGAGUGUCUGCCCUUCUUGGAUUUUUGUCCAUGCCCAUUUCUGUCUAUAGUACACUUCACCCAUCACAUGGAAAAAAAUAAUAAAACCACUCUCCUUAAUUUUAAAGAGGGUUUGUUGUCUACUUUAGGGCACUUGGUCUUCACACUUAUUUAAAAUUCUGCACAUAUAUUUAUUUAAUACAAUUAUACUAUAAUAAGUUCUUAAUUUUUUUGUGUUCUCUAAGCAAUAUGAUAUCCUUUAACUACAUUAGAUAAUGAACAGGUCCUGUUGUAGUUUAGGUAGUUAGUUAAAGCAAUAUUCACUUGUAUCUCAUAAAUGUAGAAAAUAAGUUACUCUUUCUUAAUACAGGAGAAACUGUUGAUGCCAAUAUUAAAGCUCCAUAUUCACGACAAAUGAAAAAAAGUUUCAUUUAGCGUUAAUGAUAGGGAUUUUUACAUAUAAAUGGAGUUAUGGAGCCAUAUUUACUCAUGGAUGGAGUCAAAGUCCUAUAUUUUCAUAAAAAUGAGUUUGACCUAAAUGAUGACAUGGCACAUGAAGUUUUACUGUUUAAAAUUUUUGUUACCUAAAAUGCCCUUCUCCCUAUUCCAAUGCAUUUAUCUUAUCACCCUUGUUCAGAAAACAUGGUACCUGGAGGCCAAAAAGUGGUACCUUCAGUUCAAAAAUGUGGUACCUUCAGAACAAAAGUGGUACCUUCGUAAAAGGGAAUUGUUUUUGCAAUUGAAAAUGACAUUGAACCCCACACCGCUAAUUAAGUUGCACAUUACAUCCAUAAACAGCUUCAUUAGUGCCAUGAAUAACACAAAUUAUUCUUCAAGCUAGCUAAGCGAGUGUUUAGAAAAUAUGGUACCUAAAGGCCAAAAAGUGGUAUCUUUAAUUCAAAAACGUGGUACAUUUAGAACAAAAGUGGUACCUUCGUAAAAGGAACUUAUUUUUGCAAUUGAAAAUGGUAUUAAACCUCACACCGUUAAUUAAGUUGCACAUUAGAUCUAUAAACUGCUGUUGAAAAAUUUAUAAACCUUCUUAUUAAAUAUAAGAGCCUAACAUGCAUGUAUUUAUUAAAUAGAAUAAUCAAAAUCCAUUACUUUUCAUUAAAUCAAAACCAUCAAGUGAAGUGCUAUGUCUACAAAAUACUUUAAGUCAUCACGAAUGUCAAAAAAGUUAUGAUCCAUCCAAUCUAAUAAAGUCAACAAAAAAUAAAAAACUAAAUCACUAAAUUUAAAGAAAGCAAUCAUCUUUUGCAAAAUAAGAACACAAUUAUUAAGUUUGAACAUUUAUUAGCCCCUACUCGUCCAUACAAAGUCUUGAUUGCAAUAUUAACUCCCACUCAUCCAUACAAAGUCUUGAUGGCAAGAAUCGAUCCUUCAAUCACACUGUCAAAAAAAAAAAAAAAAAAAAAAAAAAAAAGGUUACUAUAUUUAAUUGUAUCACAUUAACGAAAAAAUUAACCAACCUUAAAGAAGUAAGCGAAAUGGAAAAAGUAAAGGAGAGGAACUGAAAACGUGGACAAAUUUUCAGACUCUUAAACAAAAUGAAAAAAUAUAAUUAAAUGCAUAAGAUGAGGUAUUUCAGAAUUUCUAAACUGGGGCAUUUCAAAAUUUCAAUAACACAUCAGUAUAAUUAUAAUUGUAUGCAAAGAAAAAUAUAAUUCUAGACUGGGGCAUUCUAGAAUCUCAAUAACACAUUAAUCUCUUUAAGUUAUAAUGUAUAAGAUGUCUGUUUGAAUUCAUGAUAAUCAUUCUAUUCUUAUCAUACAAUUAAUAUAUAUAUAUAUAUAUAUAUAUAUAUAUAUAUAAGUAGCAUCCUACAAUUAAUUAGGACCUAGAUCUAUAUCAAAAUUCUAAAUGGUCUUCAUGUAUAAGAGGUCUAGAGACCAAAUUAUCUCCCUAUUAUCAUUGAAAAAUUCUAAAGAUUUAAUUAUGACCCAGAUCCAUAUCAAACAUGAUCUUUGGAUACCAUAAUUUUUUUAACAAUUGCAUUAUUGAAAUAGUUAUUCAAAAGUCCCAAACAGCCUUGCCGAUUAAAAUGGUGCGAAAAAAAAAAAUCUACCAUACCAACUAUUUAGAUGUAGUAUAUGAUAAUUAAGAAAUAUUUGUGUUAUUUAUGGCGUUAAUGAAGUUGUUUAUAGAUCUAAUGUGCAACUUAAUUAGUGGUGUGGGGUUUAAUACCAUUUUCAAUUGCAAAAUUAAGUUCCUUUUACGAAGAUACCACUUUUGUUCUAAAGGUAUCACGUUUUUGAAUUAAAGGUACCACUUUUUGGCCUCCAGGUACCAUGUUUUCUAAAUACUCGCUUAGCUAGCUUGGAGAAUAUUUUGUGUUAUUCAUGGCGCUAAUGGAGCUGUUUAUGGAUGUAAUGUGCAACUUAAUUAGCGGUGUGGGGUUUAAUGCCAUUUCAAUUGCAAAAAUAAGUCCCUUUUACGAAGGUACCACUUUUGUUUUAAAGGUACCACAUUUUUGAACUGAAGGUAUCACUUUUUGGUCUCCAGGUACCAUGUUUUCUAAACAAGGGUAAUAAGGUAAAUGCAUUAGAAUAGGAAGAAGGGUAUUUUAGGCAACAAAAAUUUUAAACAGUAAAACUUUAUGUGCCAUGUCAUCAUUUAGGCAAACUCAUUUUUGUGAAAAUAUAAGAUUUUGACUUCAUCCAUGAGUAAAUAUACCUCACUAACUCUAUUUAUAUGUAAAAAUCCCUUAAUGAUAUUCCACGUAAACUUUUUUGAAAGCCUUUUUUAUCCAUUGCGUACUCAUGCAACAUUAUCAUUCUGUGUUUCUUCAUCGCUGCAUUAAAAAAUAAAUAAAUAGAGGAAAAAAGAAAGCUUCAAAAAUUGUGUACUUGUUUAACCAAUGGUCUCAAUUGUCAGGUUCUACUUAGCUUUUUCUAGGUCCAUGGCUUAAUUUUAUUUGUGUUUUUCUGUUUCCGUACUGAUCAUGUUUAAUCCACAUGGUAGUCCAUGGCAAUGCAUUCUAUGCUUAAAAAGUUGAAUAUUUUUUUCCCUUGCAAAUUGUGUAUUGUGCUUACCCUAUGAACUUGUGUGUUUGGAUGGUUGUAGUGCAAUGCAUUCCCAAGUUGUAUCCUGUUACUCGGAUUUUCUUUCUUCUCUUUUCUCUGUUUUUGUUUCUUCUUUUUGUCUCUUGUGGUUUGAUUGUUGUUGCAGGUAGAGGAAAGAUCAUCAUUGUUUGUUUUGUAGAUUUUUGGAUGGCUCGUGCUACAAGACUUCAAGCCCUUUUUGUUUAAGAUGGUUUAAGUAGUGUAUGUUUAGGUCUUUGAACUCUUUGUUUAGGAAUCUAUAGUUCAUUUUUGUCUAAGAUCUUAGAAACAUUUUAUUUAAGAUACUAGCUUGUUUUGGUCCAAAUUAUUGGAGUUGAAAUUGUAUUAGAUGUCAAGAUUCAAUUUUUUACGCGAUGGGCUUUAUUAUGUAUGUUGUAAACAAUAAAUUUUUUGGUUGGUGUAAUUUAUGCAAUAUCAAGUAUUUAUUUGUUUGCAUAAUCAUGUUGAUGUGAUAAAUUUUUUUAUUUUAUAUUAUUUCUUUUGUUUAUAAUGUUAAUAAUAUACAGGUUUGCUACAAAUUUUUAUCUAUGUAGUCUAUUUUUGGUAUUUGCAACAAUAUAUAUUUUUGACUAUUAAAUUAUAUUUUAUUUUAUUAAUAAUAGAAUAGCCACAGAUAAACUUCGUGGCCUAUUUUAGAUAGUUGCCACGAUAUAUAUUCGUAGGCAAUUAAAAUUAUAGCCACGAAUAAAUUUUGUUGCCUAUUUUUGGGUAUUUGUCACGACAUAUAUUCAUGGGCAAUUAAAUUUAUAGUUACAAAUAAAUUUCGUGGGAAAAGACCUAUUCUACCAUGAUAAAUAUUUCGUUGCAAAAGGAUUGAAUUAGUUACGAUUAAUUCCUAUAUUGGGAUUGCUACUUGCCACGAAAGGAUUGUUAUUUAGCGACGAAAUAAUUUGUGACAAUAGAAGGUAUUUUACCACGAAUUCAAAUUUCUGACAAAAGGUCCACAAUAUUUAAUCUUAAAAAUCACUGUAUAAUGACUAUCAUAACAUUAUAAUAUUAUUACAUAUAAGUGAAUUCAUAAUCUAAUUCAUCUCUUGGUUAGACGAUGGAAUCUCUGAAUACAAUAUGAAAAAUGUUUUAUUAAUUUUUUUCCCCCCAAAAUAUUCCUUCAGGCGGUUUAAUUAUUUUAUAUUCCCGCCCAAAUAUAUUUUCCCUUUUUCUAUCACGGUACCCAAACGCUUUAUCACUUUUUCCAACUCAAGCCCUAAACCUUACCCAAGCACUUCCUGUGACAUCCUUAAACUGCACACAUUCAAAUAGUCGUGAUUCAGGCUUCGGUGUCGAAGCUCUUGAACAAUCAAGAGAGGGAACGCGAGAUGUGUACUCUAGCUAAUUGCUUGUGUGUUAGGGAUGGUAAUGGUGUUGGAUCCGUAGAAAUGAAUCAGAGUUUGAAGGAAUCUCUGAUCGGAGGGAGGUCGCAGCACCGGCGAGGUCUCAGUCUCAACGGAAUCUCCAAGGAUACUGAUGAGAACUUGGAUCUCUUCUCUAGGAAUCGCCGGAGUCUCUCCGUUGCUUCGUCCGAUGAAUCAGACGUUUUAGUGAAAUUGGGGAGACUUUCAGUUGGAUCAGCGAAACCCUACAAAAUAUAUAAUUACCAGACCAACUUCUUCUACUACUUCUUCCUCCGAGGACACCAAUUCAUGGGUCGUUCAUGCCUAGCUAGUCGCCGCCGGACUGCACUAGUGGCGGUGGCCGGGGCAUACGCUUCAUUCUCUCUCCAAGGAUUCACAAGAUUUCGAAGGCAGGUGAUCGGAAUUAUACCAGCACAGUACCUCCUCUUGAUUCCAAGGCAAACCCCUUGUUUCCAUCCUCGGCAAAGCCCAUGAUUCAGUUUGAUCUGCAGGUCUCUACAUCCAUGAAGGACCUGUGUCAUGAUGUUUUUGGGAUAUCAAAGGAAAAAAAAGAUCCAAGAGAUGUGAAAGGGAACCGAGGGACAUCUCAAACAACAAAAUUAAUGGUUCUAUUCCUUCUUCCCUUGGUGAUUUGGAGCAUCUUCUGAAACUGAACUUAAGCAGGAAUAAUUUGGUUGGCUAUAUACCAGUUGAGUUUGGUAAUCUAAGAAGCGUUAUGGAGAUGUAUGGAAUCUUUAAUUGCAAUUAUGGGUAUUAUUGCAUUUUCUUUGUCCAGUGUUCAACUUUGUUGUCAUGAUUUUCCAUUGUAGAGAUAUUUCAAAUAAUCACCUUUAUGGUCCCAUUCCUCAAGAACUCGGUCAGCUUCAAAAUGUCCUCAUGCUAUUGUUGGAUGAGCUCAUGAUACAAGAAUUCAAGCUCUUUUUGUUUAAGAUGGUUUAAGUAGUUUAUGUCCACAUCUUUGAACCAUUUAGGAUUCUAUACUUCAUUUUUGUCUAAGAUCUCAGAGCAUUCUAUUUAGCAUACUAGCUUUCUUUUGUCCAGAUUAUUGGAGUUGAAACUAUUUCAGAUUCUAAGACUUCUUUUUUAAUUUUUUAUUUUUAUACGAUAGGCUUUAUUGUGUAUGUUGUAAACAAUACUUUUUUUGGUUUGUGUGGCUUAUGCAAUAUUGAGUAUUUAUUUGUUUGCAUAA